rnacentral:rRNA from 1 species
ACGCACGCUGGCGGUGUGCUUCACCCCUGCAAGUCGCACGGUAAGGCCCUUUCGGGGGUACACGAGUGGCGAACGGGUGAGUAACACGUGAGUAACCUGCCCUCAUCUCUGGGAUAACAGUCGGAAACGGUUGCUAAUACUGGAUAUGAGCUUGCAAGGCAUCUUGUGGGUUGGAAAGAUUUUUUUGGUUGGGGAUGGACUCGCGGCCUAUCAGCUUGUUGGUGAGGUAGUGGCUCACCAAGGCUUCGACGGGUAGCCGGCCUGAGAGGGCGACCGGCCACAUUGGGACUGAGAUACGGCCCAAACUCCUACGGGAGGCAGCAGUGGGGAAUAUUGCACAAUGGACGGAAGUCUGAUGCAGCAACGCCGCGUGCGGGAUGACGGCCUUCGGGUUGUAAACCGCUUUCAAUUGUGACGAAGCUUUUUGUGACGGUAGCAGUAGAAGAAGCACCGGCUAACUACGUG